GCGUGAGUGAUGAAGGCCUUAGGGUUGUAAAGCUCUUUUACCCGGGAAGAUAAUGACUGUACCGGGAGAAUAAGCUCCGGCUAACUCCGUGCCAGCAGCCGCGGUAAUACGGAGGGAGCUAGCGUUGUUCGGAAUUACUGGGCGUAAAGCGCACGUAGGCGGUAUGUCAAGUUAGAGGUGAAAGCCUGGGGCUCAACUCCAGAAUUGCCUUUAAGACUGGCACACUUGAACGUCGGAGAGGUGAGUGGAAUUCCGAGUGUAGAGGUGAAAUUCGU
rnacentral:rRNA from 1 species